rnacentral:rRNA from 1 species
AGUGAACGCUGGCGGUAGGCCUAACACAUACAAGUCGAACGGCAGGACAGUAAGAGCUUGCUCUUACGGGUGGCGAGUGGCGGACGGGUGAGGAAUACAUCGGAAUCUACUUUUUCGUGGGGGAUAACGUAGGGAAACUUACGCUAAUACCGCAUACGACCUACGGGUGAAAGCAGGGGAUCUUCGGACCUUGCGCGAUUGAAUGAGCCGAUGUCGGAUUAGCUAGUUGGCGGGGUAAAGGCCCACCAAGGCGACGAUCCGUAGCUGGUCUGAGAGGAUGAUCAGCCACACUGGAACUGAGACACGGUCCAGACUCCUACGGGAGGCAGCAGUGGGGAAUAUUGGACAAUGGGCGCAAGCCUGAUCCAGCCAUACCGCGUGGGUGAAGAAGGCCUUCGGGUUGUAAAGCCCUUUUGUUGGGAAAGAAAAGCAGCAGGUUAAUACCCCGCUGUUCUGACGGUACCCAAAGAAUAAGCACCGGCUAACUUCGUG